rnacentral:misc_RNA from 1 species
AGAGUAGUAUAAAGAAUGUGCAAGUGGAGAACAAGCCAUUCUUGAUGUCUUAUCCUAGAUGCAAUAAAUAAUCUGCAUUUAUAUUAAUUAUAAGGAGAAGACAAUUACUAGUAAAUAAUUGCUUUUUGGUUCAAGAUAAAUCCCCUAAAGGCAUCCAAUCCUGCCUCAGAACUUGCUGGAAAACCAUCAUCUCUCAAUUUUGC